UGUGAACGCUGGCGGCGUGCUUAAGACAUGCAAGUCGAACGGCAGUCUUCGGACUGUAGUGGCGCACGGGUGAGUAACGCGUAACUGACCUACCCCAAAGUCGCGGAUAACGAUUCGAAAGAAUCGCUAAUACGUGAUGUGCUGUCAGAUUGUGUUCUGCCAGUAAAGAUUGAUUGCUUUGGGAUGGGGUUGCGUUCCAUCAGCUAGUUGGUGGGGUAAAGGACCACCAAGGCGACGACGGAUAGCCGGCCUGAGAGGGUGGCCGGCCACAGGGGCACUGAGACACGGGUCCCACUCCUACGGGAGGCAGCAGUUAGGAAUCUUCCACAAUGGGCGAAAGCCUGAUGGAGCGACGCCGCGUGAGGGAUGAAGGUCUUCGGAUCGUAAACCUCUGAAUCAGGGACGAAAGACACUUCGGUGGGAUGACGGUACCUGAGUAAUAGCACCGGCUAACUCCGUGCCAGCAGCCGCCGUAAUAC
rnacentral:rRNA from 1 species